UACAGAGGGUGCAAGCGUUAAUCGGAUUUACUGGGCGUAAAGCGUGCGUAGGCGGUUCGCUAAGUCGGUUGUGAAAUCCCUGGGCUUAACCUGGGAACUGCAGUCGAUACUGGUGGACUAGAGUACGGUAGAGGGUGGCGGAACUCCGGGUGUAGCGGUGAAAUGCGUAGAUAUCCGGAAGAACACCGAUGGCGAAGGCAACCACCUGGGCCUGUACUGACGCUGAGGUACGAAAGCGUGGGGAGCAAACAGGG
rnacentral:rRNA from 1 species